AUACGUAGGUGACAAGCGUUAUCCGGAUUUACUGGGCGUAAAGGGCGUGUAGGCGGUCUUGCAAGUCAGAAGUGAAAUUCCUGAGCUCAACUCGGGCGCUGCUUCUGAAACUGCAGGACUUGAGUGCUGGAGGGGAUAGCGGAAUUCCUAGUGGAGCGGUAAAAUGCGCAGAUAUUAGGAAGAACACCGGUGGCGAAGGCGGCUAUCUGGACAGUAACUGACGCUGAGGCGCGAAAGCGGGGGGAGCAAACAGGAUUAGAUACCCGGGUAGUUCACGCCGUAAACGAUGAAUACUAGGUGUAGGGGGUAUCGACUCCCUCUGUGCCGCAGUUAACACAAUAAGUAUUCCGCCUGGGGAGUACGGCCGCAAGGUUGAAACUCAAAGGAAUUGACGGGG
rnacentral:rRNA from 1 species